GUGGGUGGGGAAUGGGAAACCUAGGCUGUCAGUUCACCGAAGGAACCAAAUACUGGCUAAGUAACCUCUCUUUCUGCCAUUACAGGAGGCAGAGUGUUUGAACCCAGAAUAUUCAAUCUGAGUGCUGACUCAGUCCUGGGGAUUUCUCAGAGUGGUUUUCCUGGUCUACCAACCCGCAGGGGAUAUACGCAGUGGAUUGAAACCAGCCCAACUGUGCAAUGGCAGACAGCCUAAUACUAAAACUCAACAACCAUGGCAAAUGCCUCGAUGUGGGACUGAUUUAGAAGACAUGAAAAGGAAGGAGCAGGCAGAGAGACUGCAGCCUGAGCAGUUCCUGUAAGAGAACACUUCUGAGCACUCCAAUCUUUUCACACUUUGAUAGGGAUUAACUUAAUGAUCCCAUACACUGAUUCCUGGUGAAUUACUGCAAUUCUAUUCAGUACAGCAUGCAGCUGUACAUCAUCAUACUGUACUGCAAAAUAUCAAUCUUCUAAGAACACUGCUGUAAUGAGAGAGAUUUAUGCUUUAUAGAACUAGGUAUAAAAUACGUAAUACACAGAAAAAGCCACCUUUAAAUUAAAAUAAAAAAAACAUUUAAAGUUUGGGUAUUCUUCAUUAUGGGAAAGAACCUUCCACUUUGAGACCAUUAUCCAUCAGAAAAGCUCCAUCUGUUGUAUAAUUAUCUCUGAUAAAUGACACUAGUCUGAGCUUCAUUAGAGAGGUGGGGAGGAGGGGAAGAGAGCUAGCUGGAACUGUAAAUAAAUCUCACCACUGUUUUGCACUUAAACUAAAGCCAUCCCAGCAGGAAGGUGUAAAGAAUUUUUUUUAUGGGUAAUAUUUUCAAGUGCUCUACUGGCUGUGCUGCCUAAUAUCAGUCACCUUGGAGCAUCCAUUGGUGAGUGUGUAGCAAUUAGGGAUGGAAAACAUUUUAUUUCUUUAAUUCCCCCCUCCCCGCACCCACACACAUUCCUUGUAAUCCAACUCAAGUCUCAAUGAAAACAUUUUCACAAAACCUGGCCCAGCAGCAUGGAAGAAGUGCCCUGUAUCACCAAAUGGUAGAUCUUGGGUUAUGAGUGAGCAGGGGAUUGAAGGCCCCAGACCUGUGAAGGCCCAACGUGUUGUUGAAUUCUCUAGGAAAGGUGUUGUAAGAACUGCUUUUACAGCACCCCACAGGUUUUUCCGUGGAGAAGCGCUGGACGGAGGGAAGUGAUGGGAUGGUGGCCGCCAGCAACUGUGUGUGUGAAGGAAAGACAACAAUAGUCACAUUGCAAAUUAACUCUUAUUACAGCAACUGAUA